GAGAGUGUGGCUCAGCGGUAGAGCACAUGCCUAGCGUGCAUGAGGUCCUGAAUUCAGUCCCCAGUACCUCCA
rnacentral:tRNA from 1 species